rnacentral:lncRNA from 1 species
AGAAGCUUUUUACCUCCAGUCAUAUUUGUCGCCUUCUAUUUCAUGAUGGAAGAAACCGCAGACUCCAAAGACAAGACCGCCAACUCCUUGAAGGAUCUUGCCGAUGACAAUGAUAGUCAGCUAAAAAUUGACUCUCUUUCGAAACUAGUCGCCCAACUCGAAAAUGAAAACAAAAAGUCAGCUGAAGAAUUUGGAGCCCAGCGUGCUCAAAUGAAAGUUAUAUAUCUCCAGAAAGAAGAGGAGCUGAAGAAACAGGCAGCUGAGCAAGAACAGCUGAAGGAAGAAAUCAAAAGACUUCAGACAGAACUUGACGAGACAAGGAGUCAAUUAACAGCUGUCAGUUUAGAGACUGAAAGCCUCGAGUCUCAAAAGCGCACAUAUCAGGAUGAAAUCUCAUCGCUUCAGCAAAUAGUAAAUGAAACAAUCGAUGAGUCAACUCUUUUAACACGAAAGAAUGAAGCUCUUGAGGCAGAACUAGCUGAGAUCAAGGGUCAAACGACCCGUGUUGAAAUUGAUAAAGACGGAGCUCCGUUAGCUGCAGCUGGCGCCAUGAUCCAAACGUUUGCCCGUAAAGUGACCAACCAGAUCUCUAGCCAACUCAACUCAGACUCAUCAGCCGUUUCUGUGGCCACAAAUACUUCAAGUUCAUUUCUCUCACCUACCGGUGCACUUACUGAAAGCCUAGAAGAGUCUAUGCGGAAGGUAAACAAAUAUGUACGUUCCUCUCAUUUAUUUUACUAUUUUGCAUUCUAAUCCGUAGCGUAGAUUGAAGAAAGCUGUACAGAGCAAAAAUUAGUUGCAA